ACAUAUCAUCACCUUAUCAUUGGUGUCCUAACACUUUAAUUGUAAGAAGUGGAUUAAUAGAUUCAUCUA